GACGAACGCUGGCGGCGUGCUUAACACAUGCAAGUCGAACGGAAAGGCCCUGCUUUUGUGGGGUGCUCGAGUGGCGAACGGGUGAGUAACACGUGAGUAACCUGCCCUUGACCUUGGGAUAACUUCAGGAAACUGGGGCUAAUACCGGAUAGGAGCUCCUGCUGCAUGGUGGGGGUUGGAAAGUUUCGGCGGUUGGGGAUGGACUCGCGGCUUAUCAGCUUGUUGGUGGGGUAGUGGCUUACCAAGGCUUUGAUGGGUAGCCGGCCUGAGAGGGUGACCGGCCACAUUGGGACUGAGAUACGGCCCAGACUCCUACGGGAGGCAGCAGUGGGGAAUAUUGCACAAUGGGCGGAAGCCUGAUGCAGCAACGCCGCGUGUGGGAUGACGGCCUUCGGGUUGUAAACCGCUUUCGCCUGUGACGAAGCGUGAGUGACGGUAAUGGGUAAAGAAGCACCGGCUAACUACGUG
rnacentral:rRNA from 1 species